AAUGACUCUCCGGAUCCAGGGCAUGUAUUUGCAGACAUCAGUGUAGACGGCGGGGUGCGGGGUAGCACCACAGGGGUAAAUGCCCCACGAGAGGAUGCCAUGCAGGGUGUUGUCGCACACCAGUGGGCCACCAGAGUCACUCUGAGGAAGUGAGGAAAGAGACAUCAUGAGCCAGGACACAGAAAUGCUUCCUGACCUGUCCUUACCUGGCAAGAGUCCUGGUUUCUGUCCAGCCCGGCACAAAUCAUGUUGUUGGUGAUUACGCCCGGGUAGAAGACCUCACACUGCUUCCGGCUAAGGAGAGUUACCCUGGAGCAGCAGUGGGCGGCCGUGAGCACCCAGUUCCGGUCGACGAGGACACCCGCGCACUGGAACUGGAGGUUGUGGAAGAGGGAGACCUGCCAGGGUUGUGAGCCACGCGUGCACGGGACGCUAGCCGUCUCAAGGUCCACCUGCGUGGCGUUUCCCGGAAGCAAUAACGCCUGCGCGGCUGGGUGCCACGCAAGCUGGUGAAUCACAGGAGGCCCAGGCUGCAAGGGGCAGGCCACAUCACUUCAGCUAACACCCUCAUUUUGGGUGAGGAAUGGGAGGCUCAGAGAGGGUUGUGACUCAUCAGAGGUCACACAGCAAGCAAGUCCGCCUAACAACCAGAAGAUUCUAUCUAGUUCCAGCUCUGAGUCCUUCCUUGUGCCAGCGAUCUCUCUCCAAGAGCUGGACAGAACGUCUGUGUUACCUGGGGAAUCUCGUGCCUGGCUCAGCCCCGUCCAGAGCUUUUGCUACAGCGGCUACGGAGCCUUAGAAACAUGUCAAAGGUGCUAGGAAUUUCCGUUCUGCUUUCAGGUCCUUUCACUGCAGAUACCAAUCAAAUCUGACCUCAGUGAACUGAAUCCGGACAGUUUGAAAAUGACGGCAGCCUUCUUUCUACCUCUUCCUCCACGCAUGCAGACACGCUCACUGCUAUUGCACUUGCUCAUGUGCAAUUUCCCAUGGAGGAUGAGGAACUGAAAGCCGUGAAGGAGCUGAAUUGAGUUCUUUCUGCCUGGCCUGCAAGAUGGCUUGGUGGGUAAGGGCACUUGCUGCCAGCCCGAUUGGACCCUACGUGGUGAAGGAGAGAACUGACUUUACAAGUUGCACACUUCCGCAUGUGUGCCGUGGCAUGAGCACCCCCUCCACGAAUGAGUAAAUGUAAAAAUAAAAAUUUAAGUAACAUAAAAAGAAAAUGGACUAAGCUGUAAGGUGGCAUCGCCCUGAAAGUUAAGACUGUCACGGGGCUUUUAAAUUCUCCAGUCUUUCACUUCUCUGGCUGUGACAAAUGUCUUCAUCUAUUUUUCUUGUCAACAGAAAAUAGGACCAGUCUCCUGGGGGCGGGGGGGGGGGGUUGAGCAUUUAGUUGGUUAGUAACAUUUACAGGCUCUGGAGGGCUGAAGAGACAGCUCAGCAGUUCAGAGGACUUGCUGCCCUUGCCGGGGCCCCAGGUUUGGUUCCCAGCACCCAUAUGGUGGCCAGGGGACCAGAUGCCCUCUUCGGGACUUCUCAGGCACCAAGCAGGCAUGUGGUGCACGUAGAAAUAUGCAGGCAAAGACUCAACACACAUAAAUCACUGAAAAGCCGUCUGGAUCAGGAUCCGAAUGCAGAUGACAUUGAAUUCGAACCAUUUUAUCAUUUAACAAAUAUUUAUUGAAACCCUGGGAUAAGCCAGGACUUUAGGACUGGGGACAAAACAACAACAACGACAAAACAACCAAACAAAGCCACUGAUGAUCGUAUUAGGAGUCACAACUUAGGUCAAGGGAGAAUUUGUUCCAAGUCCCAAGUUGAUCAUCAGGUCA